AAGGUAAACAAUUGAACUCGUUUAGAAUGCAUGUUUAGGUUAAAAAUCUCUCGGCUUCUUUGGUUAUUCU
rnacentral:sRNA from 1 species